rnacentral:rRNA from 1 species
GACAAACGCUGGCGGCGUGCUUAACACAUGCAAGUCGAACGGAAAGGCCUUGAUUUUUUGGGGUGCCGGGUUGCGAAAGGGGGACGUAACAGGGAAUAAUCCGGCCCUUGAUUUUGGGUGAAUUUAAGGAAACGGGGCUUAUACCCGAACAGGAGUCCUUCUUCAUGGGUGGGGGUGGGAAAUUUUCGGCGGUUGGGGAUGGAUGCGCGGCUUAUGAGCUUGUUGGUGGGGUAGUGGCUUACCAAGGCUUUGACGGGUAGCCGGCCUGAGAGGGUGACCGGCCACAUUGGGACUGAGAUACGGCCCAGACUCCUACGGGAGGCAGCAGUGGGGAAUAUUGCACAAUGGGCGGAAGCCUGAUGCAGCAACGCCGCGUGCGGGAUGACGGCCUUCGGGUUGUAAACCGCUUUCGCCUGUGACGAAGCGUGAGUGACGGUAAUGGGUAAAGAAGCACCGGCUAACUACGUG